CCCUUAGAUGUUCUGGGCUGCACGCGCGCUACACUGGUGCGUUCAGCGAGUUUAGCACCUUAACAGAUAUGUUUGGGUAAUCUUCUGAAAACGCACCGUGAUGGGGAUCGAUUAUUGUAAUUAUUAAUCGUCAACGAGGAAUUCCUAGUAAGUGUGAAUCAUCAGUUCGCGCUGAUUACGUCCCUGCCCUUUGUACACACCGCCCGUCGCUGCUACCGAUUGAGUGGUCCGGUGAAUUAUUCGGACCGGUGGACUGUGGGGAAACCCGCGGCCUGCUGGGAAGUCUUGUGAACCUUAUCACUUAGAGGAAGCAGAAGUCGCAACA
rnacentral:rRNA from 1 species